rnacentral:rRNA from 1 species
AAAGAUUAAGCCAUGCAUGUCUAAGUAUAAGCAAUUAUACAGCGAAACUGCGAAUGGCUCAUUAUAUAAGUUAUCGUUUAUUUGAUAGUACCUUACUACUUGGAUAACCGUGGUAAUUCUAGAGCUAAUACAUGCUAAAAAUCCCGACUUCUGGAAGGGAUGUAUUUAUUAGAUAAAAAACCAACGCGGGCAACCGCUUGUCUGGUGAUUCAUAAUAACUUUUCGAAUCGCAUGGCCUUGCGCCGGCGAUGGUUCAUUCAAAUUUCUGCCCUAUCAACUUUCGAUGGUAGGAUAGUGGCCUACCAUGGUUU